AUUUCUCUGCCUAUUGGCUAGGAUCAAGUGUAGUAUCUGUUCUUAUCAGUUUAAUAUCAGAUUUGUCCCCUCUCUGGGGACCAUAUAUUAAAUGGAUAUUUUGAACAAGGAGAUGUAAGGAGAGCUUGCUCUGUCCAGUCCACACUUUGACCUAGUAAUGCUGUUCCUCCAGGAGCGGUACACCCUUC